rnacentral:rRNA from 1 species
UACGAAGGGGGCUAGCGUUGCUCGGAAUCACUGGGCGUAAAGCGCACGUAGGCGGAUUGUUAAGUCAGGGGUGAAAUCCUGGAGCUCAACUCCAGAACUGCCUUUGAUACUGGCGAUCUUGAGUCCGGGAGAGGUGAGUGGAACUCCGAGUGUAGAGGUGAAAUUCGUAGAUAUUCGGAAGAACACCAGUGGCGAAGGCGGCUCACUGGCCCGGUACUGACGCUGAUGUGCGAAAGCGUGGGGAGCAGACAGG